UUCGCAAUAAGGUUGAUCUUAGAAACGGUCACCUUUCAAAUAUGAAAUUUCCACCAAAUUUCCCCGCCAUAUUAUAAAUAUUUGAGAAGCUUUCAAACGCUACCAAGUUCAGUUGACCCUAAAUAUAUUAUUGCUGUAAUUUACAUGUUGUUUAGUUUUUAGACUACAAAUUAAGUUUAUAUAACUGUUUGAGAAAAGCUAUAUAACAUGCGAUUGAUCCAUUCCAUUUCCAACCAAAAACGGGUGGCAAAACUGAAUCGUUUUCCAGUACACAAACAGAUAAAAUAUUUUUUGCAUUUGAUAUCCCUAACAAAUACAUGGACACCGACGUCAACAAUCACUGCGUUUAU
rnacentral:lncRNA from 1 species